UACGGGGGGGGGCAAGCGUUGUUCGGAAUUACUGGGCGUAAAGGGCUCGUAGGCGGCCAACUAAGUCGGAUGUGAAAUCCCUCGGCUUAACCGGGGAACUGCGUCUGAUACUGGAUGGCUUGAGAUUGGGAGAGGGAUGCGGAAUUCCAGGUGUAGCGGUGAAAUGCGUAGAUAUCUGGAGGAACACCCGUGGCGAAGGCGGCUCUCUGGGACGGUACUGACGCUGAGACGCGAAAGCUAGGGGAGCAAACGGG
rnacentral:rRNA from 1 species